rnacentral:rRNA from 1 species
UGAGGAAUAUUGGUCAAUGGCCGGAAGGCUGAACCAGCCAUGCCGCGUGAAGGUCAGUGCCCUAUGGGCGUUAAACUUCUUUUGUGCGGGAGCAAUAAUGGUCACGUGUGGCCAGACGAGAGUACCGUACGAAUAAGCAUCGGCUAACUCCGUGCCAGCAGCCGCGGUAAUACGGGGGAUGCAAGCGUUAUCCGGAUUUAUUGGGUUUAAAGGGUGCGUAGGCUGUGAGGUAAGUCAGCGGUGAAAUGCCCCCGCUCAACGGGGUGAAGUGCCAUUGAUACUGCCUUGCUGGAAUGCGGAUGC